AACGCACAUUGCGCCCCCUGGCAUUCCUAGGGGCAUGCCUGUUCGAGCGUCAUUAACAACCAUCAAGCGGGGUUUGUCGGCCUCGCUUGGUCAUGGGGGAUGGCCGCCCUCGGGCGUCCACCCCCGAAAUGCAACGGCGGACGGCCACCAGUGGCACCGGGGCGUAGUAAGUUAUUCUCUCGCCCGCACCCACGGAUUGGACUGUCCGGCCGCUUGAACCCCCCAACAUCCAAUGGUUGACCUCGGAUCAGGUAGGGAUACCCGCUGAACUUAA
rnacentral:misc_RNA from 1 species